CAAACAGCGCUGCAAUCCAUCAACUCACUCUUGUGUGUAUCUUAGCAACGUAGUAGUAAACAAACCAGCAGCUAAUAAUAACAAGGCGAAACGUUUAUUUAUUUUGAUCGCGUUUUCAUGUUUUUGUAUUUUUGCAGUAAUAAACUGACAAAUGGAUUCUGUUCCUCCAUGUGGUGACGGCCCCUGGAACACUCCAGUAGAAAGUAUACCCAGAGCCCAGACAAACCCUCAAACGGGAGAUGCUCCUAUCGUUGACUAUAUUUAUAUUGAUGCCAUCACUCACGAUUAUAUGAUAUUACGUGAGCAGGAUACAGGCCGAAUUAUAGUUGUUUAUGCCAGUGACAAUCAGAACAGACGUUAGAGUCCAGACACGUCUCAAGCCGCAGCUUCAAAGCAGAUGCUGUUACCGAACCACACUGUGAACGAGUGUGUUGGAUCUCAUUCAGCUAAUGAACAUGCAAUCGUGUGCUUCUUGUUCCUGCCGUUAAAGUGUGUGAUCUUGUUGUUUUUUUAGAUGAUCACCUCCAAACCUUCACCACCGCCUAAAUAUAAAAUAUCACAAAAAUAAUCACUUUAAAAUAUUAACAAACAAAAAUCUAAAACAAUAACAACAAAAAUAAAAACAUAAAAAUAAA